CAGCCGCCGCGGGAAUACGUAGGUGGCAAGCGUUGUCCGGAAUUAUUGGGCGUAAAGGGCUCGCAGGCGGUUUCUUAAGUCUGAUGUGAAAGCCCCCGGCUCAACCGGGGGGGGUCAUUGGAAACUGGGAAACUUGAGUGCAGAAGAGGAGAGUGGAAUUCCACGUGUAGCGGUGAAAUGCGUAGAGAUGUGGAGGAACACCAGUGGCGAAGGCGACUCUCUGGUCUGUAACUGACGCUGAGGAGCGAAAGCGUGGGGAGCGAACAGGAUUAGAGACCCCGGUAGUCCCUGUCUCUUAUAC
rnacentral:rRNA from 1 species